GUAGUUGACUCCUGGCUACAGACGACGCUGGCGGCAGGCUUAACACAUACAAGUCGAACGCCCGCAAGGGGAGUGGCAGACGGGUGAGUAACGCGUGGGAAUCUACCGUGCCCUGCGGAAUAGCUCCGGGAAACUGGAAUUAAUACCGCAUACGCCUACGGGGAAAGAUUUAUCGGGGUAUGAUGAGCCCGCGUUGGAUUAGCUAGUUGGUGGGGUAAAGGCCUACCAAGGCGACGAUCCAUAGCUGGUCUGAGAGGAUGAUCAGCCACAUUAGGACUGAGACACGGCCCAAACUCCUACGGGAGGCAGCAGUGGGGAAUAUUGGACAAUGGGCGCAAGCCUGAUCCAGCCAUGCCGCGUGAGUGAUGAAGGCCUUAGGGUUGUAAAGCUCUUUCACCGGAGAAGAUAAUGACGGUAUCCGGAGAAGAAGCCCCGGCUAACUUCGUG
rnacentral:rRNA from 1 species